UGGGGAAUAUUGCACAAUGGAGGGAACUCUGAUGCAGCGACGCCGCGUGAGUGAUGAAGGAAUUCGUUUCGUAAAACUCUGUUCUAUGGGAAGAAAAGGACUGUACCAUAGGAGAAAGCUCCGGCUAAAUACGUGCCAGCAGCCGCGGUAAUACGUAUGGAGCGAGCGUUGUCCGGAAUUAUUGGGCGUAAAGGGUGCGCAGGCGGCUUUACAAGUUGGAUGUGAAAUAUUGUGGCUCAACCACAAACGUGCAUCCAAAACUGCAAAGCUUGAGUUAAGGAGAGGUAAGUGGAAGUCCUGGUGUAGCGGUGGAAUGCGUAGAUAUCAGGAGGAAUACCGGUGGCGAAGGCGACUUACUGGACUUAAACUGACGCUCAGGCACGAAAGCGUGGGGAGCAAACAGG
rnacentral:rRNA from 1 species